CCCGUGUUUAUUUUACCUUGUUGCUUCGGCGGGCCCGCCUUAACUGGCCGCCGGGGGGCUUACGCCCCCGGGCCCGCGCCCGCCGAAGACACCCUCGAACUCUGUCUGAAGAUUGUAGUCUGAGUGAAAAUAUAAAUUAUUUAAAACUUUCAACAACGGAUCUCUUGGUUCCGGCAUCGAUGAAGAACGCAGCGAAAUGCGAUACGUAAUGUGAAUUGCAAAUUCAGUGAAUCAUCGAGUCUUUGAACGCACAUUGCGCCCCCUGGUAUUCCGGGGGGCAUGCCUGUCCGAGCGUCAUUGCUGCCCUCAAGCACGGCUUGUGUGUUGGGCCCCGUCCUCCGAUCCCGGGGGACGGGCCCGAAAGGCAGCGGCGGCACCGCGUCCGGUCCUCGAGCGUAUGGGGCUUUGUCACCCGCUCUGUAGGCCCGGCCGGCGCUUGCCGAUCAACCCAAAUUUUUAUCCAGGUUGACCUCGGAUCAGGUAGGGAUACCCGCUGAACUUAAGCAUAUCAAU
rnacentral:rRNA from 1 species